rnacentral:rRNA from 1 species
CCCUUAGAUGUUCUGGGCCGCACGCGCGCUACACUGACUGGUGCAACAAGUGUCUGACCUUGGCUCGAGAGGCCUGGGCAACCUUUGAACGCCAGUCGUGAUGGGGAUAGAUUAUUGCAAUUAUUAAUCUUCAACGAGGAAUGCCUAGUAAGCGCAAGUCAUCAGCUUGCGUUGAUUACGUCCCUGCCCUUUGUACACACCGCCCGUCGCUCCUACCGAUUGAAUGGUCCGGUGAAGCGUUCGGACCGUGGCCUUUGGACGGUUCGCCGUCUGUUGGCUGCGGGAAGUUCGUUAAACCUUAUCAUUUAGAGGAAGGAGAANUCGUAACA